rnacentral:rRNA from 1 species
CUGACGAGCGGCGGACGGGUGAGUAAUGCAUAGGAAACUGCCCAGUAGUGGGGGAUAGCCCGGGGAAACCCGGAUUAAUACCGCGUACGCCCUUCGGGGGAAAGCAGGGGAUCUUCGGACCUUGCGCUAUUGGAUGUGCCUAUGUCGGAUUAGCUAGUUGGUGGGGUAAAGGCCUACCAAGGCGACGAUCCGUAGCUGGUCUGAGAGGAUGAUCAGCCACAUCGGGACUGAGACACGGCCCGAACUCCUACGGGAGGCAGCAGUGGGGAAUAUUGGACAAUGGGGGCAACCCUGAUCCAGCCAUGCCGCGUGUGUGAAGAAGGCUUUCGGGUUGUAAAGCACUUUCAGUGAGGAGGAAAACUCUGCGACUAAUACUCGUAGGGCUUGACGUUACUCACAGAAGAAGCACCGGCUAACUCCGUGCCAGCAGCCGCGGUAAUACGGAGGGUGCAAGCGUUAAUCGGAAUUACUGGGCGUAAAGCGCGCGUAGGUGGUUUGAUAAGCGAGAUGUGAAAGCCCCGGGCUUAACCUGGGAACGGCAUUUCGAACUGUCAGGCUAGAGUAUGGUAGAGGGUAGUGGAAUUUCCUGUGUAGCGGUGAAAUGCGUAGAUAUAGGAAGGAA